rnacentral:tRNA from 1 species
GGGCGCAUAGCUCAGUUGGUAGAGCAGCUGACUCUUAAUCAGCGGGUCCAAGGUUCGAAUCCUUGUGCGCCUACCA